UACGUAGGGUGCAAGCGUUAAUCGGAAUUACUGGGCGUAAAGCGUGCGCAGGCGGUUCUAUAAGACAGAUGUGAAAUCCCCGGGCUCAACCUGGGAACUGCAUUUGUGACUGUAGAGCUGGAGUACGGCAGAGGGGGAUGGAAUUCCGCGUGUAGCAGUGAAAUGCGUAGAUAUGCGGAGGAACACCGAUGGCGAAGGCAAUCCCCUGGUCCUGUACUGACGCUCAUGCACGAAAGCGUGGGGAGCGAACAGG
rnacentral:rRNA from 1 species